ensembl:lincRNA Gm43349 predicted gene 43349
AAAACCCAGCUUCCUGUCUUAUGUCGUCAUUACGGAUCCAUAACAGCGUUACCAGCUAAGAGAGCCACAUGCAUUGUUUAUCCCUGAGUUUGAGGUUCGAGGUGAGCUGGGGGAGACCCGAGAGAGGGUUGGGGAUGGAGAUAAAGUUAUGUCACGCGCACUGAGCUAAAUUCAGUUCAGGAGAGAUGAUUAGAUUCCAGGAAAACAGGUUAUUCGGUCCAAAGUUCCUCUGCUACUAAGGAAAUAAGUGGCUCUCAGAUGCCUCCAGCGGGAAGAGAAGCUUGUCAAAGGAGGGAACGAGGUGCAUUUCACUGUCAAGGGUCAGGUCUCAGAAUCUCCUCCCAGUGGAUGGAACUACAGACACUCUCAACGGCAAAAAUGGACACACACUGCCUAGUUAAAGACGGGACGCAAAUACUCCUUGACAUCUUUUCAAGACGGGCAAAGCUCUGGAGCGCUUCUGAACCGCAUCUGCUUUCCAUUCCGGCCCGCAUCUUUGCUG